rnacentral:misc_RNA from 1 species
AAGUCGUAACAAGGUUUCCGUAGGUGAACCUGCGGAAGGAUCAUUAGAAUAACGGAAGAUUGUUUAAAUCUUUCUAAUAUCUUACUCAAAUCUUAUCCUAUAAAAUUUUUUUUGAAGUAUAAAAAAGACUUAAUAAAUUAUGAUAACUUUCAACAACGGAUCUCUUGGCUCUU